rnacentral:rRNA from 1 species
UACGGAAGGCAGCAGGGGGAAUAUUGCACAAUGGGCGAAAGCCUGAUGCAGCUAUGCCGCGUGUAUGAAGAAGGCCUUAGGGUUGUAAAGUACUUUCAUCGGGGAGGAAAAAACAAAACUAAUAAUUUUAUUUCUUGACGUUACCCGAAAAAGAAGCACCGGCUAACUCCGUGCCAGCAGCCGCGGUAAUACGGAGGGUGCUAGCGUUAAUCAGAAUUACUGGGCGUAAAGAGCACGUAGGUGGUUUUUUAAGUCAGAUGUGAAAUCCCUGGGCUUAACCUAGGAACUGCAUUUUGAAACUGAAAUACUAGAGUAUCGUAGAGGGAGGUAGAAUUCUAGGUGUAGCGGUGAAAUGCGUAGAUAUCUGGAGGAAUACCUGUGGCGAAAGCGGCCUCCUAAACGAAUACUGACACUGAGGUGCGAAAGCGUGGGGAGCAAACAGGGAUUAGAUACC